CAAUAGGAGUGAGGUUUUUGUACGGGCAGUGAUAGGGAUUGUAUCACUGUGGUACACAUUUGGUGGUGGUACCAGACUGGAUGUUGGAAGCAACCGUGCCCCCACCCUGACGGUGCUGCCCCCCUCCAGUGAGGAACUGUCCAGUAAGAGUACAGCCACGCUGAUGUGUCUGGCCAACAAGGGCUUCCCCUCAGACUGGACCCUCAGCUGGAAGGUGGACGGGAGCAGCAAGAAGAGCCAGGAGGCCAGCAGGGGGCUCCUGGAGAAGGACGGCCAGUACAGCUGGAGCAGCACCCUGACUCUCACUGCCCAGGAGUGGGCCAGCGUGCUGGAGGUGACCUGUGAGGCCCACCAGAGCUCCCAGCCUACGGUCACUCACACCCUGAAGAGAGAGCAGUGUUCUGAGUAGCCCCAGGCUCACACAGCCCUGUGGAGAGGGGCUGCUUCCUCUGCUGGGACUCUGUUCUGUGCUCAGCCAUUCUCUGUCCCCCAGAUGGCUCACAUGCAGACUAACAGGGAGCUUUGCUAGAGUCCACGUGUCGCUACUGUUUGUAGACUGAGGUUUUAUCAGUGCUAAAGUUGCUGCUUUUGGUCACUAUUCACUCUGUUAGUUGGCUUUGCUUUGUUGCUGGAAUGUUGUUAUUUUAUGGGACAAUAAAGAUUUCUUGUUGAACUUGAAA